rnacentral:rRNA from 1 species
AUUAUUGAAAGGUGCUUGCAUCUUGAUUUUAAUUUUGAACGAGUGGCGGACGGGUGAGUAACACGUGGGUAACCUGCCCUUAAGUGGGGGAUAACAUUUGGAAACAGAUGCUAAUACCGCAUAAAUCCAAGAACCGCAUGGUUCUUGGCUGAAAGAUGGCGUAAGCUAUCGCUUUUGGAUGGACCCGCGGCGUAUUAGCUAGUUGGUGAGGUAACGGCUCACCAAGGCAAUGAUACGUAGCCGAACUGAGAGGUUGAUCGGCCACAUUGGGACUGAGACACGGCCCAAACUCCUACGGGAGGCAGCAGUAGGGAAUCUUCCACAAUGGACGCAAGUCUGAUGGAGCAACGCCGCGUGAGUGAAGAAGGCUUUCGGGUCGUAAAACUCUGUUGUUGGAGAAGAAUGGUCGGCAGAGUAACUGUUGUCGGCGUGACGGUAUCCAACCAGAAAGCCACGGCUAACUACGUGCCAGCAGCCGCGGUAAUACGUAGGUGGCAAGCGUUAUCCGGAUUUAUUGGGCGUAAAGCGAGCACAGGCGGUUUUUUAAGUCUGAUGUGAAAGCCCUCGGCUUAACCGAGGAAGUGCAUCGGAAACUGGGAAACUUGAGUGCAGAAGAGGACAGUGGAACUCCAUGUGUAGCGGUGAAAUGCGUAGAUAUAUGGAAGAACACCAGUGGCGAAGGCGGCUGUCUGGUCUGUAACUGACGCUGAGGCUCGAA